UUUCCCUUGAAAGCUAUUACAAAAAGGCUGCUGUGAACACUCAUGGAACAUUUGUGAAGACAUAUGGUUUCAUUUCUCACAGGUUGAGCUCCAUGGAAGGAGGUAAGAUGAAGAUUCCAGGGAACGGGAAUCAGGAGAAGCUGAACUACUAACCCACAGGGAACUCUGGAGUAGAUGAUGCACCGCAGUUGUCUUGAGCUGUUGCAAAGCAGACAGGUGUCUGUACCUCUGUGUUUACUUGGAAGAGGAUAAAACUUUGAAUCUUGUAUGAGGAAGAUCUCUUCCAUCAAGGUCAAUGCCCAGAGAGGUCAAAGCUCACCCUCUGAAGACCUGGACCCCAUAUUUCUAGCAUCUACAGCGUAUUCAAGAACCCAGAUCUCCUACUCCAUGUUGUGCUGUUUCAACCACAUAUGAAAGUAGAAGGGAAACAUGCACAAGGUCAGCUUGCUUGUCGGAGAUGGUCGUGAAGUAAUCAAUGUGCUCUACAGUCCUAAAAAGUUAUGUGAAGUAUUGUAA